rnacentral:rRNA from 1 species
GUCUUCCUGUUUUUAUUGGAAGUCUGACCUGCCCAGUGAUUAUUUUAACGGCCGCGGUAUAUUGACCGUGCAAAGGUAGCAUAAUCAUUAGUCUUUUAAAAGGAGGCUGGAAUGAAAGGUUUGACGAGACAUUGACUGUCUCAUCCUCAAUUAUUAAAAUUUAACUUUUAAGUUAAAAGGCUUAAAUUUUAUUGGAAGACGAGAAGACCCUAUAGAGCUUUAUGGUUUUGUCUUUAUUUUCUUUAUAAUUAGUUUUAUUGAUUGAACUGUUUUGUUGGGGUGACAAGAAAUAUAAAUUUAACUUUUUUAUUUUUAAUACAUUUAUUUAUGAUUCUUUAGAUCCAUUAUUAUUGAUUGUUAGAGUAAGUUACCUUAGGGAUAACAGCGUAAUCUUCUUUUGGAGUUCAAAUUUACAAGAAGGAUUGCGACCUCGAUGUUGGAUUAAGAUUAUAACUGGGUGCAGUAGCUCAGCGGUAUAGGUCUGUUCGACCUUUAAAUUCUU